GUAGGGAGCGAGCGUUGUCCGGAAUGACUGGGUGUAAAGGGAGCGUAGGCGGGAUGGCAAGUCAGAUGUGAAACCUGAGGGCUCAACCUUCAGACUGCAUUUGAAACAGCUGUUCUUGAGUGAAGUAGAGGUAAGCGGAAUUCCUGGUGUAGCGGUGAAAUGCGUAGAGAUCAGGAGGAACAUCGGUGGCGAAGGCGGCUUACUGGGCUUUUACUGACGCUGAGGCUCGAAAGCGUGGGGAGCAAACAGGAUUAGAUACCCUGGUAGUCCACGCUGUAAACGAUGAUUACUAGGUGUGGGGGGAUUGACCCCUUCCGUGCCGCAGUUAACACAAUAAGUAAUCCACCUGGGGAGU
rnacentral:rRNA from 1 species